UGGGUGAUCUGCCCUGCACUUCGGGAUAAGCCUGGGAAACUGGGUCUAAUACCGGAUAUGACCUUGGGAUGCAUGUCCUGUGGUGGAAAGCUUUUGCGGUGUGGGAUGGGCCCGCGGCCUAUCAGCUUGUUGGUGGGGUCAUGGCUCACCAAGGCGACGACGGGUAGCUGGUCCGAGAGGAUGACCAGCCACAUUGGGACUGAGACACGGCCCAGACUCCUAGGGAG
rnacentral:rRNA from 1 species